UGUGCCAGGUACUAGAACAUAGUAUCAUUGCAGAACAGUUCUAAUCUUCUCUUUACUGAAUACAACCUAAGGUGAACCAUUUCCAGGAACUAACAAACAAGAUGGGAUGAGAGAAGAUUUUAGUUCAAGAAUCAUCCUAUUGAUUGAAAACUGCCUGUGGGGAGAUUGUUCACUCAGACAGUGAUGUCAGUGAGGAUGAGAGGUUGGGGCUGAACUUUAAUUGAGAAACCUAUAAAAGUCACUAAACACCAUCUCAUCACAGAUAGUCAGUGUGAUUCAUGUGAAUACAUAUGAAGGCAUGUACAAAGAGGGUUCUCAUGGGGCUGAAACAGCUGAUCUGAGCUGUCUGCUCUAGGUGACAUAUGAAAGUUACUGGCAUUGAGUCUGACAGGAGAAAUAUACCAUGUGACUUCAGAAUUGUGAACUUCUUGAGGACAGAGACACUUGUCCUUCUUUGCAACCUUCUGAAGUUCCAAACUUCCCAUUUCCAGGUCACAGAUUCUUUGCCUCAUUUCCUUGGGAGAAGAUUUCAAAGAAAAAAAAUUGAUCCUCUUUCUAUGGAAUCUUGCAUUUAAAACACAAUCAAAAUAUUCCAAACAAAUGUGAAGGUGUAAGAUGAACAAAUUCUGAAUAUCCAAUAUAUAACAUGAUGAUUAUUGCUAAAAGGAAUGUGUUUUUAAAUUAUACUAUUUCCCAAAAGUAACACCGCUGUUCAUUUUAUAUGGUACUUAACAAUUUACUUUGUGGUUUCACUGAUAGUACAUUUGAUACUUAAUAUUCAGUGACAAUCUGCUUUCAGUAUUAUCAAUAUUCUGUGCAUGUGGCUGGACACCUGGAACUGCAAAGUUCUUCCUUAUAUAUUUUUCCAUAGAAGUUAGGUUCCCUGUCUGCCUGCUGACCAUGCUUUAGCAUAACUAAACAAUUUGAGUAAGCAUCUACAGAAUUUGCUCUAGAAGUUUAUAGAGCUGCCCUUGAUCUUUCAGGUUAUGCAGUUUACACUUAUUAAAGUGAACACUGACUUGGGCGAUAAACUGUUUUAAAAAACUCUGGCCUCUAAAGCUGUGUGAUCCUGAGCAAGAUAUUUUGCUUUUUGGAAACUCAAGUUUCCUAAUUGUUAGUGGUGAUCAUUACAUCGAAUGCAUCUGGCCACUAUGGAGAUAAAAUGAGAUCACAGUUUAAGUAGAGCUAUCUACUCAAUGCCUGGCAUGAAGGGAUAACUCAAUCAUUGCUAACUCCCUUUUUCCUUGAUUCUUAUUUUUCUUUUAGCUGAUUCAAUAUUUUCUUUAGGAACAUUAUUAGUCUUCCUUUUGACUGUACCAGAAUUCUACCUUUACUCACCUGAAGGAAUCAGACUAACUAAUUUGGUAGGUGCAGUGGAAGAGCAUUGAACUCAGAAGCUUUAGUUUACUCCUGUGGGCUCUGUGGGCAAUUGCACAGUCUUGGGAAAGUUAUAUUUGUGCACAACUAUUUCCACCCAUGUGAAAUGAGGAUACUCAUAUUUAUCCUACUGUUUCAGAGAUAAUUUGUUAGUCUCAGAAACAA